UGUUCUCAGGGCGGGGUGAAAGUCCCCACCGGCGGUAAUCGUGCGCAAGUACGUAGCCCGCGGGCGCUCCCGUCAUCAUGUGACGGGAGGACAAGCAGACUCGGUGUGAUUCCGGGGCCGACAGUUAAAGUCUGGUUAUGAGAAA
rnacentral:ncRNA from 1 species